ACGGAGAGUCGGGCUCACGCCAUUUUGUGCCCCCCCCCACCCCUGCCCCGGCCGAGCCACCUUCUCCUUUUCUACACUCUGAGCCCUCCACCCCGCCCCUUUCCAAGCGUGUCCCGGGCCGCCGCCGCAGAAACCGCACCUCUCUCCCCACAUUCUCCACGCGGGACGCGCAGCCGUGCCUACAAGUGUUCUUAAAGCAGAGAUGAAUAAUACUGCAGCCAGCCCCAUGUCUACUGCUACUUCAAGUAGUGGAAGAAGUACAGGGAAGUCUGUAAGCUUUGCAGCAGAGUUACAGAGUAUGAUGUUUUCUUUAGGUGAUGCUAGGAGGCCUCUUCAUGAAACGGCACUUUUGGUAGAAGAUGUGGUACACACGCAGUUAAUUAAUCUGUUACAGCAAGCUGCUGAAGUUUCCCAGCUCCGGGGAGCAAGGGUAAUCUCUGCUGAAGACCUUCUGUUUUUGAUGCGCAAAGAUAAGAAAAAGCUUAGAAGACUGCUAAAGUACAUGUUUUUCCGAGACUACAAAUCCAAGAUUGUCAAGGGUAUAGAUGAGGAUGACCUUCUGGAAGACAAACUGAGUGGCAGCAAUAAUGCGAACAAAAGACAGAAGAUCGCCCAAGACUUUCUCAACUCUAUUGACCAAACAGGAGAACUCCUGGCAAUGUUUGAAGAUGAUGAGAUCGAUGAAGUUAAGCAAGAAAGAAUGGAGAGAGCAGAAAGACAAACUCGAAUUAUGGAUUCAGCCCAAUAUGCAGAAUUCUGUGAAAGUCGACAAUUAAGUUUCUCCAAAAAGGCCUCCAAAUUUCGAGACUGGCUGGACUGCAGCAGUAUGGAGAUAAAACCCAAUGUUGUCGCAAUGGAAAUUUUAGCAUAUUUAGCAUAUGAAACUGUGGCACAGUUAGUGGACCUGGCUCUUCUCGUGAGGCAGGACAUGGUAACCAAGGCAGGAGACCCCUUCAGCCAUGCCAUUUCGGCAACGUUCAUUCAGUAUCACAACUCUGCUGAGGGGUCUUGCAUGAAGUCCUUCCCAGAGUCUCCUGAGAACACACCUCCUCCCACACCGACUGCCCCCUCGUCUGGAUCACAGCACUCAGGGAAAACCACAUCGGGGUCCCUCGGGAAUGGGAGUGCUGGGCAAGACUCAACUAAAACCAAGCAAAGGAAAAGAAAAAAGAGCACCGCGGCCUGUGGUGUUGAGGCUCACAGCGAUGCCAUCCAGCCCUGCCACAUCAGAGAGGCCGUUCGACGCUAUGGCCACAAGAUUGGCCCCCUUUCCCCAUUCACAAGUGCCUACCGCAGGAAUGGGAUGGCUUUUCUGGCCUGCUGAUGGGACUGUGACUGUAACAACAGGAAAGGCAAUGUUAUAUUAAGGAGUAAACCAAGCCCACUCAGCACUUCCUGUUUACCUCCUGGUUUUACCUAUGACUCACCUAAAAUCUGAACAAGACACCAUUUGAUGUGACAUUCCAUCUUCCCGCCCAAGAAUGUGGCCUGGAGAAGAGCCCCUCAGGGCUGGCCGCCAUAUUGCUCUUCUUGGUGACCAGUUGCAUGUGCCCCUGCCAUUCACUGAGAUAUCGAGCUUACCCUUGAUGAUUAGUUCCAACCAAUUAAUUUUUGGCUAAGUCAUCUACAAGCUCUGUAUCUACUAGCUACUGUCACAUAACAAACACUCCCAAACUCAGCUUAACCCAGUAAAGCACUUAUUGUUGAUGAGUCCA